GCGGCAUGCCUAACACAUGCAAGUCGAACGGGAUUCGGACUUCGGUUCGGUGAGAGUGGCGGACGGGUGGGUAACGCGUGGGAACCUGCUCCGUGGUGGGGGAUAACUGCGGGAAACUUCAGCUAAUACCGCAUGAGCCCGACAGGGGAAUGAUUUAUCGCCAUUGGAGGGGCCCGCGUUCGAUUAGGUAGUUGGUGGGGUAACGGCCCACCAAGCCGACGAUCGAUAGCUGGUCUGAGAGGAUGAUCAGCCACACUGGGACUGAGAUACGGCCCAGACUCCUACGGGAGGCAGCAGUGGGGAAUAUUGGACAAUGGGGGCAACCCUGAUCCAGCAAUGCCGCGUGAGUGAUGAAGGCCUUCGGGUUGUAAAGCUCUUUUGCCAGGGACGAUGAUGACGGUACCUGGAGAAUAAGCCCCGGCUAACUUCGUGCCAGCCGCCGCGGUAACAC
rnacentral:rRNA from 1 species